GAAAUGCGAUAAGUAAUGUGAAUUGCAGAAUUCAGUGAAUCAUCGAAUCUUUGAACGCAUCUUGCGCUCCUUGGUAUUCCUUGGAGCAUACCUGUUUGAGUAUCAUGAAAUCUUCAAAGUAAAUCUUUUGUUAACUCAAUUGGUUUCUACUUUGGUAUUGGAGGUCUUUGCAGCUUCACACCUGCUCCUCUUUGUUCAUUAGCUGGAUCUCAGUGUUAUGCUUGGUUCCACUCGGCGUGAUAAGUUAUCUAUCGCUGAGGACACUGUAAAAGGUGGCCAAGGUAAAUGCAGAUGAACCGCUUCUAAUAGUCCAUUGACUUGGACAAUACUUUUAUGAUCUGAUCUCAAAUCAGGUAGGACUACCCGCUGAACUUAAGC
rnacentral:misc_RNA from 1 species